UACAGAGGUCCCAAGCGUUGUUCGGAUUCACUGGGCGUAAAGGGUGCGUAGGCGGUCGGGUAAGUCUGGCGUGAAAUCUCCAAGCCUAACUUGGAAACUGCGUUGGAUACUAUCCGGCUCGAGGAAUGGAGGGGAGACUGGAAUACUUGGUGUAGCAGUGAAAUGCGCAGAUAUCAAGUGGAACACCAGUGGCGAAGGCGAGUCUCUGGACAUUUCCUGACGCUGAGGCACGAAAGCCAGGGGAGCAAACGGG
rnacentral:rRNA from 1 species